rnacentral:tRNA from 1 species
GGUGGCUCAGUGGUAGAGCGUUUGCCUUGCCUGCAUGAGGUUCUGGGUUCGAUUCCUCAGCACCA